AUGAACAGCAGUGACAGGGUGACGCUGCUGUCUGUGUCCCUGUUGUGUUAAAUUAACUGUGAGGCAAGAGUGUGAACUGACUGAGUUUAUUGUCAAUAUUAUAAUGUUUAACAGAGCUGGGGAGCCAGCUUGGAUCGGACCUGGCCCAGUGAUACCAGAAACCCCCCUCACGCACGAGGGUGCUGCAGAAGAUGAAACAAAAUGAACGUUCAGACACAAAGUCUGGUCCCGACUCCGUCUGGCGGUGUCUGUGGAAGCUGGGAACACCUGCACAGCCCCAGAAGCAGCAGUGUCUCCUCGUAUCUCAAAGAGCAGUGCUGAUCGAUCGACAAGAACAGGAACACCACUGAACUACCACACUGCCUUUCACAGAAGCAGGAAACAGACGUCAGUGUGUAUCUCAGUUGAGAUCACACUAUCUCACACCUCACUUAUCACUUGUCAAGAUUAAUGGAUCCUUUGGAACAGCACAGACUUGACAAACGUGUUCCAGGCCUGCAGAUCCACAUUCUCCAGCUUGAUAUAUGAACACUUUUCAGGACAGAUUCCUCCUGCCUGCCUCUGAGCACUCAGACGUCAGAAGAAACCUCGAGCAAGAGAGAAGCUUCUAGAGCUAGGCAGCUUGUUCCCCCCUCCCACUCCUGUCUGUGUAAAGUAGAGCCUCCUGUCCUGACUGGAGGAGCUCAUCCAGCUGUGUCUGGAGAGAAGCCAGUUGUGUUACAGGACAGUAUACUGUAGCAGUGUAUACUGCGUUGUGUUACAGUACACUAUAGCAGUGUAUACUAUGCUAGUAGUCUAUCCUAGACUGUAUACAUUCCUCCACAGUGUUUGUGUCCAGUCCUGGUCCUGGAGGGGUCCGUCAGUGUGUGUGUCUGAAGCAGGGCUGUACAGUUCUGGUCCUGGAGGGGUCAGUCAGUGUGUCCAGUUCUGGUCCUGGAGGGGUCAGUCAGUGUGUCCAGUCCUGGUCCUGGAGGGGUCAGUGUGUGUGUCCAGUCCUGGUCCUGGAGGGGUCAGUGUGUGUGUCCAGUCCUGGUCCUGGAGGGGUCUGUCAGUGUGUGUGUCUGAAGCAGGGCUGUCCAGUCCUGGUCCUGGAGGGGUCAGUCAGUGUGUGUCCAGUCCUGGUCCUGGAGGGGUCAGUCAGUCUGUGUCUGCAGCAGGGCUGUCCAGUCCUGGUCCUGGAGGGGUCAGUGUGUGUGUCCAGUCCUGGUCCUGGAGGGGUCAGUCAGUGUGUCCAAUCCUGGUCCUGGAGGGGUCAGUCAGUGCUUUUCUCCCUGUCUGUGUGUCUGUCUCAUGGAGAGCAAGCUGGGCUCUGUGAAAAGACAGGCUCAUUUCUAAUACGAGACGUUGUAUCUGGCCAAUAAAGUGAUCU
rnacentral:lncRNA from 1 species